GGAGCAGAGAUUAGAAGCUUUCCGACGUUCGCACAUGCCGUCGUGAUUAGGGUUACGUCGAAGAGUUUCAACGUCGUCGUCGCGACUCAUAUCGCGUCCGCCACUAAUUCCUUCUUCUGCAAAAUUCUCGUUAAAAGAAAAACGUAUAUGGUUUUGGAAUGCGGUGCAGGUUACGACGAAGAGUUUCAACGUCGUCGUCGCGACUCAUAUCGCAUCCGCCACUAAUUCUUUCUUCUGCAAAAUUCUCGUUAAAAGAAAAACGUAUAUGGUUUUGGAAUGCGGUGCGGGUUGCGUCGAAGAGUUUCAAAGUCGUAGCCGCGACUCAUAUCGCCGGGAUGUAAGAUUCAUCUAACUUUUUUAACCUAACUGCGAUUGUAUAACUAAUCUGUUGUAUAACUAGUCUAGAACUACCAGAAAGGAAUGAUUAGAAAUCGCUAUAUUUGAAUAUAAUGAAUAACGUAAAUGCUCAAAAUGAUUCGAGAUCUGGAAGGUUGCCAUGGUGUCGGUGAAUCUAGGGUUAGGAGUUGGUAGGGAAGAUGCACAGUUCAAGUGGGCCGAGUCUGGGCAAAAUAUUUGGGCCUUACUCAAAUCACAAACGAGCCAAAACCCAGAAAAGCUACAAGUAAGAAAACACCUACAUGGGCCUGUGUAGUCCUUCUCUAUCCACCUCUCCGAACACAAUAUCUUGAGUACCUAUGAUGGUGACCACAUCUACUGGCAUGUGAUGUUUGGACAUAGAAUCGAGUCCUUGUGAAUGGGUCGAACCAGGUGCUCUUAUUUUACGACGGUAGGGAGGAUUGCUUCCAUUACUGACCAGAAAGACACCAAAUUCUCCUUUAGGUGCUGCAAACUGCGGUAUAGGUAGAAGGAGCUGCUACGGAAAAACCUCUGUGUGAAGUUCGAAAUGGUGAAUUGAGGUUAGAGUAGGCCGAUGAUCCUGUAGUCAUUUGGCCGGCCAU